GGAUUAGAUACCCUGGUAGUCCAUGCCGUAAACGUUGGGCACUAGGUGUGGGGGACAUUCCACGUUUUCCGCGCCGUAGCUAACGCAUUAAGUGCCCCGCCUGGGGAGUACGGCCGCAAGGCUAAAACUCAAAGGAAUUGACGGGGGCCCGCACAAGCGGCGGAGCAUGCGGAUUAAUUCGAUGCAACGCGAAGAACCUUACCAAGGCUUGACAUGAACCGGAAAGACCUGGAAACAGGUGCCCCGCUUGCGGUCGGUUUACAGGUGGUGCAUGGUUGUCGUCAGCUCGUGCCG
rnacentral:rRNA from 1 species